UGGGGAAUCUUGCGCAAUGCGCGAAAGCGUGACGCAGCAACGCCGCGUGGGGGAAGACGGCCUUCGGGUUGUAAACCCCUUUCAGUUGGGACGAAGGUCCGCCGGUGAAUAGCCGGCUGGACUGACGGUACCUUCACAAGAAGCCCCGGCUAACUACGUGCCAGCAGCCGCGGUAAUACGUAGGGGGCAAGCGUUGUCCGGAAUCAUUGGGCGUAAAGCGCGUGUAGGCGGCUCGGUAAGUCUGCUGUGAAAGUCCAGGGCUCAACCCUGGGAUGCCGGUGGAUACUGUCGAGCUCGAGUCCGGAAGAGGCGAGUGGAAUUCCUGGUGUAGCGGUGAAAUGCGCAGAUAUCAGGAGGAACACCAAUGGCGAAGGCAGCUCGCUGGGACGUGACUGACGCUGAGACGCGAAAGCGUGGGGAGCAAACAGG
rnacentral:rRNA from 1 species